UACGUAGGCAGCGAGCGUUGUUCGGAGUUACUGGGCGUAAAGAGCGCGCAGGCGGUCGUGCAAGUCGCGUGUGAAAGCCCCCGGCUCAACUGGGGAGGGUCACGCGAUACUGCUCGACUCGAAGGCAGGAGAGGGAAGUGGAAUUCCCGGUGUAGUGGUGAAAUGCGUAGAUAUCGGGAGGAAUACCAGUGGCGAAGGCGACUUCCUGGCCUGUUCUUGACGCUGAGGCGCGAAAGCUAGGGUAGCAAACGGG
rnacentral:rRNA from 1 species